GGUUCGACCACACGACUUUUAUCCAGAAUCUGAGCCAGAGGGAGAGGCUGCUGAAGAAGUUCAAACUCUACAGCUGCAGCAGGACGUUUCUGAAUGGUGCACCUGUGGAAACUGUGCAACCAUGCCCACAGAAGCUGAGAACAUCUGCUGCUAGGAGAUACCACAGGUUACCAGACGGCUGUGGGAGAUUGACGAAGAUUUACCAUGUAUGGUAGACCGUCCUGGGUUGGAGCCGCUCUGCCUCAAUGUGUUCUGCCUGCAACAUGUACCGCACUCACUUUGGUCCUUUACGGUUGAGAGGAAUACACCAGUAUGAUUUGCUUCUUUGUAAAAACAUAGUUUCAAUCUAAAUAAAAGAUGUUAGGCAGUCUUGUUUUACUUCAGUGCACAUAAUUUUACAAUGGUAAUAACACACCACAAAUAGAGUAACACACACUCAAAUAAAUUAGUUUAGCUGCUCUUUGAUUUGUAAAGUUCUUCUAUCAGCAGAUAGUGUGCAUAUAAUAUAUGAAUUCAGAGGAGUCAUUUCUUUAGUAACAAUCAAGCAUUUAUUUACAUCAAAUGAGGGACUUAUAAUCAGUGAUAAUAAAAAAACUGUAGGAUUCACUGGAUCCAUAUAAAAAAAUUGUGAGACACAACAUAGAUAUAUGUUUGCAAGACUAAAUGUCCUGUCCAGUUGUUUUAGUCAGUACAGGUAUCUAGCCUAUAG